CAUGGGUUCCCACAUGCAUAAAAACAGUGCUGUCAGAAUUUCACUCGGAGUAGAAGCCUGAGCAUGUCACUCAAAUCACAGGGGAACUGUACUGGCUGCUUGUCAAAGGAGAGAUCAGAAAACCUUGCCACCAUCGACUGAAAAUUCAGAAUUGGACAAGAAGGAGUAGACUUUUGUUCACCUACGAAUUGAUUAAUAAAAGGACCUAAAUGCUGAAUUUGACAGAGAAAAAGCACAUCCUGUCUGAGUCAGCUGACCAGGGACACGAGGGCAUCGUGCUUCCCAGAGUUCCAAGGCUGCCAGGCGGAACGACAAAGGUUAAAAGCCAGGCAAAGGAUAAUGAUCCUGCUUUCAUCACACAUUUCGGGAUAAUGGUUUCAAUGGAAGGAUCAGAGAUGGGUUUCCAGCAAAGUUAACCAGACUUAACUUCAAAGUUCUUGACUUCUCAGAGACUCCAAGAAGAGCCCUAAGCCCGGGGUCCUGUGUUUUAGACCUUGGAAAAUGGAGGUAUUUUAACUGCCGUAGAUGAAACUGUUUCUUUCUCUGUCUGACUUGCCUUCCAUUUCCCCUUGCGUAGGAAGUUCUAGAAUA